rnacentral:rRNA from 1 species
CGGUGCUGAAGCGACAAAUGCCCUGCUUCCAGGAAAAGCCUCUAAGCAUCAGGUAACAUCAAAUCGUACCCCAAACCGACACAGGUGGUCAGGUAGAGAAUACCAAGGCGCUUGAGAGAACUCGGGUGAAGGAACUAGGCAAAAUGGUGCCGUAACUUCGGGAGAAGGCACGCUGAUAUGUAGGUGAAGCGACUUGCUCGUGGAGCUGAAAUCAGUCGAAGAUACCAGCUGGCUGCAACUGUUUAUUAAAAACACAGCACUGUGCAAACACGAAAGUGGACGUAUACGGUGUGACGCCUGCCCGGUGCCGGAAGGUUAAUUGAUGGGGUUAGCGGUAACGCGAAGCUCUUGAUCGAAGCCCCGGUAAACGGCGGCCGUAACUAUAACGGUCCUAAGGUAGCGAAAUUCCUUGUCGGGUAAGUUCCGACCUGCACGAAUGGCGUAAUGAUGGCCAGGCUGUCUCCACCCGAGACUCAGUGAAAUUGAACUCGCUGUGAAGAUGCAGUGUACCCGCGGCAAGACGGAAAGACCCCGUGAACCUUUACUAUAGCUUGACACUGAACAUUGAGCCUUGAUGUGUAGGAUAGGUGGGAGGCUUUGAAGUGUGGACGCCAGUCUGCAUGGAGCCGACCUUGAAAUACCACCCUUUAAUGUUUGAUGUUCUAACGUGGGCCCCUUACCGGGGUUGCGGACAGUGUCUGGUGGGUAGUUUGACUGGGGCGGUCUCCUCCUAAAGAGUAACGGAGGAGCACGAAGGUUGGCUAAUCCUGGUCGGACAUCAGGAGGUUAGUGCAAUGGCAUAAGCCAGCUUGACUGCGAGCGUGACGGCGCGAGCAGGUGCGAAAGCAGGUCAUAGUGAUCCGGUGGUUCUGAAUGGAAGGGCCAUCGCUCAACGGAUAAAAGGUACUCCGGGGAUAACAGGCUGAUACCGCCCAAGAGUUCAUAUCGACGGCGGUGUUUGGCACCUCGAUGUCGGCUCAUCACAUCCUGGGGCUGAAGUAGGUCCCAAGGGUAUGGCUGUUCGCCAUUUAAAGUGGUACGCGAGCUGGGUUUAGAACGUCGUGAGACAGUUCGGUCCCUAUCUGCCGUGGGCGCUGGAGAACUGAGGGGGGCUGCUCCUAGUACGAGAGGACCGGAGUGGACGCAUCACUGGUGUUCGGGUUGUCAUGCCAAUGGCACUGCCCGGUAGCUAAAUGCGGAAGAGAUAAGUGCUGAAAGCAUCUAAGCACGAAACUUGCCCCGAGAUGAGUUCUCCCUGACUCCUUGAGAGUCCUGAAGGAACGUUGAAGACGACGACGUUGAUAGGCCGGGUGUGUAAGCGCAGCGAUGCGUUGAGCUAACCGGUACUAAUGAACCGUGAGGCUUAACCUUACAACGCCGAAG